ensembl:lncRNA
CUCAUGUUCAAGCACCAGUGAAGCAGUGGUAGUGUUUUCAUGAAGGUAUUCUAUGGCAAUUAGACAAACAUACCAAUCCACCAAAUGAAAUACUCUCAUACAGUUUUGCUGCAGAAUUAGGCUAGCACAGAAGCCUGAGAUACCCAUCUUUCAAAUUAGGGUUCGUGUUAUUUACAUGUGAAAGAAUCUUUACCCAUUUUCGGCACUUCCUUGAAUUUCGGCUCAGUUUCCUAAUCAGAAUUAGCUGUUCUCUCCUUCAGAAGAAAAGCCUCUGCCAAUUUGUAUCUAGAAGACACAGGGAAAAUGCUGCAAGGCAGAUUCCCUACUAUGUGCAGGAACCAACAGAAGAUCUGAGGAUAUCCAAAGAGAAUGGAAAAUAUCUUAAGAUCUACAAAAUUCUACUGUGAAAAAAUGAUUUGCACAAGAUAACAUGCCUUCAUUUGCAAAUGAAAAUUUACUAGCUGUGGCAUAGCUAGAGAAAGCUUUGCAGUUGAAGAAAGCUAAAAAACAGGAGUGAAUGUUUAGAACAAGAUACUGUAUCAACACAUAUGGCAGCAUCUGCAGUGGAGAGUGGAAAGAACAUUGUCCUAUGAAGAAACACUUCUGGAUGCCUCAGUUUUAUGAAAUGCAGCCCAUUCACCCCCACUGUUUACAGAUGGUCACUGAAAACUUAAAAAUCUACUGAAAUAUCUAUAAUCACACACUGCAUUGUGAACUUCUGCCAGUAGCAAGACUGCACAGCCCAGAGCAGCAGUAACUUACUGUUUUGGCAUGUGCAUGGGCUUCAGAGGCCAGUUUUCUUACAAGUCACAGGACUCUUCAUUCUGUGACCCUAUUCUCCCCAGGAGCACGCUGCCCUUCACACAGACUUAACGCUCUACAGUCUGGGCCUUCGAGAGGCACCUUUCUCAGAGAUGCAAACAAUAAUGUAGCAUGAGUUUUCUUUCAGCUUCUAAGCACAGAAAGGGAGGAGUUGGGGAGAAAAUAAAACAAAAAGGAAGAAAAAGACAAGGAAUAGUUGAAUAGGAGAAACAGAUGGGAAAAAAGAAAAAAGAUGAACAGAUGGUUGUUGUGUCGUAAAAUUUUUAUUUCUAUCUUUCUUUGUUUUUAAAUAAGCCAAUAGCAGUAUUUCACACAGACGUAGAAUAACAUGGAGAAGAUAACAUUAACAUUGUCAAAUUACUGUUUAUGGCUUCUGAGUACAACACUCGUGAAGAAGUGACAUGAGUAUAAAGUGCAACUAUAAUCAGAGCUUGAACUAGAAUAACAUUUUCUCUUCUUGACCUUCCAAUCCACUGUAACUGUUAUAUUUCACCCCUUUUGGGAGCAAUAAUCAGUGUCUGCACCAUUGCAAAUAAACAAAUUAGAUAUUAUGGGCAUCUCUGCCCAGUUUUGGUGAAGAAUAUUACACAGAACCGGAUGCUUUGCACAACAGCAUAGUGAUCAAAGAACAAAGGUAAAAGUCUCAUUGAUUUUGAAAGAACUUUGAUGGAAGCUCUCCAAAGAAAAAUCCUGAAGAACCACUCCCUCACCAUUUCCCAUCAGGCACCCAAGGGACUGAGUUGCCCUCAAUUUCAGAAGAUCAUUUUCAUCAGUACAAGUGAGUUUAGAGCAAUUUUGUAGUGUUCUCCAAUCAUAAAUUGCUUAGCAUUUGUUUCACUGUGGUGUAAGCAAC